rnacentral:rRNA from 1 species
UACGUAGGGGGCAAGCGUUGUCCGGAAUUAUUGGGCGUAAAGAGCGUGUAGGCGGCCAGAUAAGUCCGCUGUGAAAACUCGAGGCUCAACCUCGAGAUGUCGGUGGAAACUGCCUGGCUAGAGUCCGGAAGAGGAGUGUGGAAUUCCUGGUGUAGCGGUGAAAUGCGCAGAUAUCAGGAAGAACACCUAUGGCGAAGGCAGCACUCUGGGACGGUACUGACGCUGAGACGCGAAAGCGUGGGGAGCGAACAGG